CGAAGGAGUGGCGAACGGGUGAGUAAUACAUAAGCAACCUACCCACCGAAGACUGGGAUAAUCUCUGGAAACGGGGACUAAUACCGGAUAGGUAAUCGGAAGGCAUCUUCUGGUUAUUAAAGGUUAAAAACACUGGUGGAUGGGCUUAUGGCGCAUUAGUUAGUUGGUGAGGUAACGGCCCACCAAGACGAUGAUGCGUAGCCGGCCUGAGAGGGUGAACGGCCACAUUGGGACUGAGACACGGCCCAG
rnacentral:rRNA from 1 species